rnacentral:rRNA from 1 species
GGGUUGUGAGGUUAAGCGACUAAGCGUACACGGUGGAUGCCCUGGCAGUCAGAGGCGAUGAAGGACGUGCUAAUCUGCGAUAAGCGUCGGUAAGGUGAUAUGAACCGUUAUAACCGGCGAUUUCCGAAUGGGGAAACCCAGUGUGUUUCGACACACUAUCAUUAACUGAAUCCAUAGGUUAAUGAGGCGAACCGGGGGAACUGAAACAUCUAAGUACCCGAGGAAAAGAAAUCAACCGAGAUUCCCCCAGUAGCGGCGAGCGAACGGGGAGGAGCCCAGAGCCUGAAUCAGUGUGUGUGUUAGUGGAAGCGUCUGGAAAGGCGCGCGAUACAGGGUGACAGCCCCGUACACAAAAAUGCACAUGCUGUGAGCUCGAUGAGUAGGGCGGGACACGUGGUAUCCUGUCUGAAUAUGGGGGGACCAUCCUCCAAGGCUAAAUACUCCUGACUGACCGAUAGUGAACCAGUACCGUGAGGGAAAGGCGAAAAGAACCCCGGCGAGGGGAGUGAAAAAGAACCUGAAACCGUGUACGUACAAGCAGUGGGAGCCUCUUAAUGGGGUGACUGCGUACCUUUUGUAUAAUGGGUCAGCGACUUAUAUUCUGUAGCAAGGUUAACCGAAUAGGGGAGCCGAAGGGAAACCGAGUCUUAACUGGGCGUUAAGUUGCAGGGUAUAGACCCGAAACCCGGUGAUCUAGCCAUGGGCAGGUUGAAGGUUGGGUAACACUAACUGGAGGACCGAACCGACUAAUGUUGAAAAAUUAGCGGAUGACUUGUGGCUGGGGGUGAAAGGCCAAUCAAACCGGGAGAUAGCUGGUUCUCCCCGAAAGCUAUUUAGGUAGCGCCUCGUGAAUUCAUCUCCGGGGGUAGAGCACUGUUUCGGCAAGGGGGUCAUCCCGACUUACCAACCCGAUGCAAACUGCGAAUACCGGAGAAUGUUAUCACGGGAGACACACGGCGGGUGCUAACGUCCGUCGUGAAGAGGGAAACAACCCAGACCGCCAGCUAAGGUCCCAAAGUCAUGGUUAAGUGGGAAACGAUGUGGGAAGGCCCAGACAGCCAGGAUGUUGGCUUAGAAGCAGCCAUCAUUUAAAGAAAGCGUAAUAGCUCACUGGUCGAGUCGGCCUGCGCGGAAGAUGUAACGGGGCUAAACCAUGCACCGAAGCUGCGGCAGCGACGUUUAUGCGUUGUUGGGUAGGGGAGCGUUCUGUAAGCCUGCGAAGGUGUACUGUGAGGUAUGCUGGAGGUAUCAGAAGUGCGAAUGCUGACAUAAGUAACGAUAAAGCGGGUGAAAAGCCCGCUCGCCGGAAGACCAAGGGUUCCUGUCCAACGUUAAUCGGGGCAGGGUGAGUCGACCCCUAAGGCGAGGCCGAAAGGCGUAGUCGAUGGGAAACAGGUUAAUAUUCCUGUACUUGGUGUUACUGCGAAGGGGGGACGGAGAAGGCUAUGUUGGCCGGGCGACGGUUGUCCCGGUUUAAGCGUGUAGGCUGGUUUUCCAGGCAAAUCCGGAAAACUAAGGCUGAGGCGUGAUGACGAGGCACUACGGUGCUGAAGCAACAAAUGCCCUGCUUCCAGGAAAAGCCUCUAAGCAUCAGGUAACAUCAAAUCGUACCCCAAACCGACACAGGUGGUCAGGUAGAGAAUACCAAGGCGCUUGAGAGAACUCGGGUGAAGGAACUAGGCAAAAUGGUGCCGUAACUUCGGGAGAAGGCACGCUGAUAUGUAGGUGAAGUCCCUCGCGGAUGGAGCUGAAAUCAGUCGAAGAUACCAGCUGGCUGCAACUGUUUAUUAAAAACACAGCACUGUGCAAACACGAAAGUGGACGUAUACGGUGUGACGCCUGCCCGGUGCCGGAAGGUUAAUUGAUGGGGUUAGCGGUAACGCGAAGCUCUUGAUCGAAGCCCCGGUAAACGGCGGCCGUAACUAUAACGGUCCUAAGGUAGCGAAAUUCCUUGUCGGGUAAGUUCCGACCUGCACGAAUGGCGUAAUGAUGGCCAGGCUGUCUCCACCCGAGACUCAGUGAAAUUGAACUCGCUGUGAAGAUGCAGUGUACCCGCGGCAAGACGGAAAGACCCCGUGAACCUUUACUAUAGCUUGACACUGAACAUUGAGCCUUGAUGUGUAGGAUAGGUGGGAGGCUUUGAAGUGUGGACGCCAGUCUGCAUGGAGCCGACCUUGAAAUACCACCCUUUAAUGUUUGAUGUUCUAACGUUGGCCCCUUACCGGGGUUGCGGACAGUGUCUGGUGGGUAGUUUGACUGGGGCGGUCUCCUCCUAAAGAGUAACGGAGGAGCACGAAGGUUGGCUAAUCCUGGUCGGACAUCAGGAGGUUAGUGCAAUGGCAUAAGCCAGCUUGACUGCGAGCGUGACGGCGCGAGCAGGUGCGAAAGCAGGUCAUAGUGAUCCGGUGGUUCUGAAUGGAAGGGCCAUCGCUCAACGGAUAAAAGGUACUCCGGGGAUAACAGGCUGAUACCGCCCAAGAGUUCAUAUCGACGGCGGUGUUUGGCACCUCGAUGUCGGCUCAUCACAUCCUGGGGCUGAAGUAGGUCCCAAGGGUAUGGCUGUUCGCCAUUUAAAGUGGUACGCGAGCUGGGUUUAGAACGUCGUGAGACAGUUCGGUCCCUAUCUGCCGUGGGCGCUGGAGAACUGAGGGGGCUGCUCCUAGUACGAGAGGACCGGAGUGGACGCAUCACUGGUGUUCGGGUUGUCAUGCCAAUGGCACUGCCCGGUAGCUAAAUGCGGAAGAGAUAAGUGCUGAAAGCAUCUAAGCACGAAACUUGCCCCGAGAUGAGUUCUCCCUGACUCCUUGAGAGUCCUGAAGGAACGUUGAAGACGACGACGUUGAUAGGCCGGGUGUGUAAGCGCAGCGAUGCGUUGAGCUAACCGGUACUAAUGAACCGUGAGGCUUAACCUUACAACGCCGAAG